rnacentral:misc_RNA from 1 species
GAUAAAUAUCUGGUGGCGAUGUUACAAGAGAAGCAAAGUGCCAUUGCUCCUUGCAUUGCUGUCAGCUGCGAGCACGCGUGAGUCAGCUAGGUGUGGUGGGGCUGUUGAGCCUUGGGGAGUCAGUGAUAGCAGUUCAUGUGCCCCCUCGUGUGGAAACUGGUGGAUGGAGCACGCCUUUGCAGUGUGUUUAUGUGUCGUGUGUGACCUGCAGCUUUUGAGCUGUCUCUGUGAGAUACAUUUCUAUUGUUUUCUCUUGAACUUGCUUCUAUUUGCAAAACUCAUUAUUUCCCUGUUGUCGUAAUUUUCUUCUGAUACACUGUUCUCAAAUGCUAAUAACCCGUUGAAUGUACAUUGUUUGUGCUGCCUUGUGUAUUGUUUUGUUUGCCCUGAAAUUGUCUCUGUUCACUCUGUUUUUUUU